rnacentral:piRNA from 1 species
UACGUUUUGGUGGUAUCGGCGUACGUA